rnacentral:rRNA from 1 species
GGUAACCUGCCCAUCAGAAGGGGAUAACACUUGGAAACAGGUGCUAAUACCGUAUAACACUAUUUUCCGCAUGGAAGAAAGUUGAAAGGCGCUUUUGCGUCACUGAUGGAUGGACCCGCGGUGCAUUAGCUAGUUAGUGAGGUAACGGCUCACCAAGGCCACGAUGCAUAGCCGACCUGAGAGGGUGAUCGGCCACACUGGGACUGAGACACGGCCCAGACUCCUACGGGAGGCAGCAGUAGGGAAUCUUCGGCAAUGGACGAAAGUCUGACCGAGCAACGCCGCGUGAGUGAAGAAGGUUUUCGGAUCGUAAAACUCUGUUGUUAGAGAAGAACAAGGAUGAGAGUAGAACGUUCAUCCCUUGACGGUAUCUAACCAGAAAGCCACGGCUAACUACGUGCCAGCAGCCGCGGUAAUACGUAGGUGGCAAGCGUUGUCCGGAUUUAUUGGGCGUAAAGCGAGCGCAGGCGGUUUCUUAAGUCUGAUGUGAAAGCCCCCGGCUCAACCGGGGAGGGUCAUUGGAAACUGGGAGACUUGAGUGCAGAAGAGGAGAGUGGAAUUCCAUGUGUAGCGGUGAAAUGCGUAGAUAUAUGGAGGAACACCAGUGGCGAAGGCGGCUCUCUGGUCUGUAACUGACGCUGAGGCUCGAAAGCGUGGGGAGCGAACAGGAUUAGAUACCCUGGUAGUCCACGCCGUAAAC